rnacentral:lncRNA from 1 species
UUAAAAUUUAUUUGAAAUUUCUUUAAGAUAUAAUUAGGAUUUGAUUAUGAUUUAGAAUUUUAUUAGGCUUUGAUUAGGAUUAGGAUUUAAAAUUUGAUUAGAAUUUGAUUAGAAUUUUAUUAGGAUUUAAGAUUUUAUUAUAAUUUGUUUAGGAUUUGAAGUAGAUUUUGUCUAGGAUUAGGAUUUAGGAUUUGAUUAAGAUUUGAUUGAAACUUAAGAUUUUAUUAGGAUUUAAUUAUCAUGGAUUAGGAUUUAAGAUUUUCUUAGGAUUUAAUUAAGAUUUAUUUAGAAUUUGAUUAAGAUUUUAUUAAAAUUUAGGAUUGCAUUAAGGCUUGGUUGAGAUUGGUUUAGACUUUUAUUAGGAUUUUUUGAAGGUUACAUCAGAAUUUGAUUAGGAUUCAAUAAUAAUUUCUAUUUUUGAUAUUUUUUAAAGUUUUUUUAUUAUAUAUAUUUUAUUAAAGAUUAAUUUAUGUUUUCUUUAUGUUUUUUUUGUAAGUUCUUAAGACUUCUUUUGGAUAUAAUUAAAGAUUAAUGAACAUUGUUAUAAUUUAAUUGAAAUUUAUUUAGGAUUUCAUUAGAGCUGUUAAGAUCAUCUUGUUGUAAGUUUUAUUUUUCUUUCUACAACCAAGUGUCUAGUAUAUUCUCAAUCAGAUUUCACAUAAUACAAUAUGAUUUGGUGAAUCCGACGUAAAAAGCUUGAGGUAGAAGUUCUUUGGAAUUUUUUUGAUUUAUUUGAAUUAUAAAAAAGAAGACAAGAAAAUAAAAAGAUGAACUUUUGGUGGUACUUCAAAUGAUGCUUUAAGUAGAAUUAGAAAUGGAGCUACAAAUAGAAGACAAGGUAUGUAUUUUGAUUCCAACUCUACAAAUAUAUUUGAGGCUUUUGCUCUAUUCAUGCAAUAGCAACAAGUUAAAGAUCACAAAGAAGGUAUGGCAAACAAAGAAUUAUAAGUUGUUGUAGAUAAGAUUGAUUGAUUUGAAGUGAAGAAUAUUACAAAGUAUUUAAGGUAUUAUGUAAAAAAUAUGGAAUUGUAGUUUAUUUUUAAGAAAGAAAUGGUUCAAUUAUUUGAAUUAGCAUGUGCAUUGUAGGUAAGAAAUCAAGUAAAGUCUAUUAUAGGAUAUUUUGGAGGUUCAUGGAGUUUUUUAUUUGAAGUAUUGAAGGAUGAUUUUUUCUAAAAAGAUAGUGAUUGGAUUAUAAAGAAGUCAUUUUUUUAAUAGAUUAAAAGACCUAAGAAGGAUCUUCAAGCAACAAAAUUAUUGAGAGAGUUUAAAAGACAGUAUAUUUAUUUAUCAAAGAAAGAAAGAUAAUUAUUAGAUCUAAGCAAAGUGGACCUAUUUCUUUAAGUAGCUAAUGGAGAGUUGCAAAAGAAGUUGGAAUUUUUUCUUGAAGAUAAAGAAGAAGAAAGAAGAUUGAAAAAAAAUUGAAAGAAAGUAGAAGAGAUAAUAGGAUUUCUUAAAAAAAAAAAGAAAAAAAAAAAAGAAUAAGAUAGGUGUUAAAAUAUUAUUGCAAACAUCUAAGAUAAAAAUGCCUACUAACCAUUUUAUGUUUAUGAUUCAACCUUCAAUAGUUACAUCAAAGAAAUAAGAAAUAAGCAUUAAUGAAAUCAUAUAGAAGAUGUGAGGUUUACAAAUAAAAUUUACAAAACUUGAAGAAAAAAAUCAAUCAUUAAUAAUAUCAACAAAAUAAAAAUUGAGACCAAUGGAAGGUGAAGUGCAUGGAUGCAUGUGAUGUGAUAAUAUGGAUUAUACAAGAAGAGAAUGUAAAGAUUUUAUAGAGGCAUUAUAGAAAGGAGUUAUUUUUUUUUUUAAAGAUGGUAUGAUAUACUUAAAAGAGAGUAGAGAAAAAUUAGAGUCAAACUUUGAUAUAGGAGAAUGAAGAUACUUAUAAGGGAAGCAUUUAAAAUCUUAAGCAAUAAAGCAUCAAUAUAUUAGGUGGAAGAAAAUUCUAACAAAUAUUUAAGUAUAAAUCUUGAAUUUUUAAGAAAAUCUAGUUCUUUGUAAUCAAGUUUAAUGAAUUAUUCUGAAAAAGAAAAAUUAUUAGAAAUUAUUUAAAAUAAUUUAGUAAUAACAUUUAGAAAAUUAUUGGAUGGGAUGAUCCAAUAGAUGGAUUAUUAAUUCAUGCUCAUAUUGCAAAGAAUCAAUAUAAAGAAUUAAUUAAAAAAAAAUGAAAAUGAAAAUAGUGAAGGGCCAUGAAAAAGAACUAUAAAGAAAGAAAAAUCAUAAAAAUAAAAAAAAUCCUAUGCAUAAAGAAUAUUUCUACAAAAUAAUAGAAAAUUUUGAAAGAAAAAAUAAAGAAUUUUUCUUAUAAAUUACAAUUGAAUAUUGAAGCUACUAUAGAUUUGAAGAAGAUAUUAAAAGAAUAGAUUUUAGGUAAAAGAGUUGAAUUUAUAAUUGGCAAAAUUCUAAGGAUUACAAAGUAUGAAUUUUAUAAAAUUAUUAUUGAUAAAAUAAAGAAAAAAAGACAAUCUAUAAGAGAUACUAUGAUAUCAAAUGCAUAAAGAGCAAAGACAAUGACAAGCAGUAUAGAUGAAGAAGACAAAAUACAAAAUUUUGAAGAUGUUUCAUGAAUUAGAUUUACAAAAGAAGAAUAUAUAAUUUAAGCCUCUAGUCAUUAUUCUUAAAUUCAUUGAAAAACGGCUAUUAUAUUUUUUAAAAAAAUAUUAGGAAAUUUAGAAGAAUCAAUUGUAGCAUUCAUUCAUAAUGGUUCUAAAAUUAAUUUGAUGUCAAAAGAAUUAUAUAAAAGGAAAAAUUGACCUAUUGCUAUUGAACAUGGAAAGAUGAUAAGAUCAAUAAAUAAUUUAAAGAGAGAUUUAUAUGGAGCUUUUUCAAAUAUUAAAGUGACAAUAAAAGAUGUUAUUCUUGAAUAAAAUUUCUUUGUAUAAGAUAUGUCUAUAUAUCCUAUUAUAUUAGGAUAAUUAUAUAUUAUUGCUACACAACUGGAAAAAAAAUUUAUGGAUGAUGGUUUGGCUUAUGUAAAGAUAAGAAGUCAAAUUAGAAAGAAGGCAAUGCAAUUUUUAAUAAUUUGUGAAAAUUAUAAAAGAAAUCAAAAUAGUUUGAAGGAGCAUCUUUUGCUAGGGUACAUAGAGAAUUCAAAGAUCUUAGCAACUCAAAAGAUUUUACUAGAUGUCAUUAUAAAGUGGGAUUGUAAUGAUAGAAGGAGUGAUAGCUUUGUACUUAUAAAAGAAAUGAAGUCGUUGUAAGAUUAUCAUGAAAUGAAUAUAUUUUAUUCAAAAAUAUAAAUGAUUUUGAAAGAAUAGAAAAAAAUGUCGAAAAUAUGGAACAUGAGUUGAAAAAAAUGUAGAGUGAUUCAUGGAAAUGAAUGCAUAUCAAGGGUGUUUGAAGAAACUUGCUUUAGUGAUACAAUGGAUAAUUUGCAUAUAUUAUUGGAUUUAAAUUUUGAAGGUAGUGAUAAGAUAAUAAAUGUUCAUUUUAAGCAAUUUUAUGAUAUAAAAAACAUAUGUAGAUAAGUAGGAAGUAAAGAUGAAUAAAAAAUAUAAGAUCAUUGCAAAGAAGGUUAAACCAAUGGCAUUGCUACUACCAUCAGAUUUUGAAGAAGUAAUUGAAAAGGCUUUUAUGCAAUCCAAUUUAAGAGAUUCAAGGAAAAUAAAACAUGAAUUUAAGGGUGAAUUGACAAUAGAUGGUUUGAAAGUUGGAUGUGAGAAUUUUUUGACAAAAAAUGAAAAGAGAUGAUUCAAAGAACUACUUUCAUGACAAUGGUGUAUACAUAUUAUAAGAGCUUGAUGGAACAAAAUUGAAGACACUUAUAGUAAAGAAGUGAAUAUAAUUAUUUAGACAAAAAUGUAUAUGUACAUAUUUUGGUGAUGAAUAUAAUCUAAUAAAUGACAUUGAAAUAAAAAUAGAAGAGUAGAUUGAAGACCAUGAAUUUGACCAAGAUGAAGGACAUCCUAUAUUAACAUAUAGAAGAAUAAUUAAUAUAUACCGAAAGAUAUACAUAUUUGAAGAGAGUGGAUGUUGUGUAAUAACAUAGCCAUUAGGUGAAAGAAGAAAGAAAUUAUUUUAUUAUAAAAGAGAUUAAUUAAAAAGAUAUAAUAAAAAAUAUAAAUAAAUGAUAAGUAAGUAGUAAAAUCUUAUAGUAUUAAAACUAUCUUUUAUGAAAAUAGACUCUAUUUACUUUGUAUGACCAUAAAUAAGAGAAAAAAAGGUAGAUUAAAAAAAAAGAUAUAAGCAUAUGUAGGAGAAAAUUAAGAAGUGAUUUUAGUAAAUUUUAUCUUAAGAAAUUAACAAUUGAUAUUCAAAGAAUUCCAAUUUCCAACUAAGAUUGAAAUCAAAUCCCAAGACACAAAACCAAAGACUUGUAAUAUUUUUGGAAUUCUUUUACAAAUCAAAGAAUAGUAUUUGAAAGCAAACUUGAAAAAAAAUUGAGGCUUUAUUUUAAGUUGUUUGAAUCAAUAUUGAAGUUUUAAAGGAUUUUCAAAGUUAAUAAUGUAGUUGGUGGGUUUAUAUUUAAAAAAUAAAAAUAUUUUUAUAAAUUUGAGGAUUUUUUGAGUUUUAUAGUGUAUUUAUGGAUAAAAAUUUGGUAAUUUGUUGUAAAUGUGUAAAGACUUUGAAGUCAAUUAAGUAGUUAGAGUGAAGCAUAUGACCAUUUUUAAGAAUUAUGGUCUCAAAAAUUUGAGAUUUAGGAUGACAGAGUGAUUUCAAGAUCUAGCAAUAAUUUCCAAUUGGAUUGAAGGAAAAAUUGGUAAGAACAAUAAAGACUUAAAAAUCUAUAUAUAAUCCAAUUUUUGGAGCAAUUGAAUAGUUUUUCAAGAAAAAAAUGAUGUUAAAAGAUCAACAUUCAAGUCGGAGAAGGAAGGCGGCCAAUAAUUAAGAAGUUUUGGAAAUUUUUCUUACAAUUGGUGAAUUUGAUUCUUCUCAAUUUUUAUUUUCUUGUUAAUUACUUGUUGAUUGAAGUUUAAGUGAAAUUUUAGUUAAGAUCUAUGGUUCAAUUAAUAUUUAUUGAGAUUUCAAACAACUAUAGUAAUUAAUUGAACUUUACUUGGAAUUUUCUUAAGAUAUGAUUAGGAUUUGAUUAGAAUUUAGGAUUUUAUUAGAAUUUUAUCUAAGAUUAGGAUUUAGAAUUUGAUUAAGACUUGAUUAGAAUUUUAUUAGGAUUUAAGAUUUUAUUAGGAUUUGAUCUAAGAUUAAGAUUUAGAAUUUAAUUAGGAUUUAUCUAGGAUUUGAAUAAAAUUUUGUCUAGGAUUACGAUUUAGGAUUUGAUUAGAAUUUGAUUGAAACUUUAGAUUUUAUUAAGAUUUGGUCAAAGAUUAGGAUUUAAGGCUUAUUUGAUAUUUAAUUAGGAUUUAUUUAGAUUUAUUUACUGAAUUGACUUAUUUAGAUAUUAAGUAUAAAAAUAACACUUAUGGUGUUUAAAAUCAUAGAUUUUUUAAGUUAGUAGUAGAAUUUUUAGAAGAAAUAGAAAAUAGAUGGCUAAUAGUAAAUAUGCAAUUUAGGAUAGAAUUUUUUAAGCCAAAUUUCUAUGUUGGAGAUGUUUUGUAUUUAAUAUUAGAUGAUGGCUUAAAAAAAUAGACUUUGUUAUCAAAAAUAAAAAAUAAAUUUAAUUUUAUUAAUAAUUCUUAUUGCAUGCAAUAAAAAGUACCAUACUGAUAAGAACUUGUAGUGUUGGACUUCAAUAAUGUGUGAGUGGUUGAUUUUGUGUUGUGGUUGGAAGUCGUAGAAGUGUAGCAUGAUUUCACUUGUGGUGCAAAGGUAACUUUCCUAUUCUUUGACAAUACAAGCAAUCAUGAUAAGUUGUUGCCUUCUUCUUGUAUUAGAAGCUGCAAUGCGACAAAGGAGUCAAAAGUAUUUUUUCUUUUGUUGUGGAAAUAUUUUUUAUUUUUUAUACUGUUAUAUAGUGGAUUGUCAUGUUUGAGGUAGUAAUUUUGGUCAUUGGCAGUAGUUCCUUCUCCCACUUGCUCUUUGUUGCCAAUUGCACCUUUGACCUCAUGUAAAACUAGUACUAAUGCAUGUUCAAUUUGGAGCAAUAUAACUAGACUAGGAGUCAAGUAGAAGUGCAAUGGUUAAGGCUUAUGUGCGAGUCCAAUUUUCAUUGAUUGAGUUAGGAAUUACUAUUGAUGAUGAUGGGCUAAGAUUGAAGAUUUAGUAUGGAAUAAUAAUUUGAUGGUUUGGUGGUUGAUUGAUUUUUUGCUUGAGCUAGUGUUAUAACAAUUUGAACUUGCUACAAGUUUAGUGCUCUUGGUACUAUUACUGAUGUUUUUUUAUAAUGUAAGAUAGCUUGCAAUAGAAUACCACAAAAUAUCUUCACCAUUAGUUAUUGCAGAUAUUACUUCUAUAGAUUUUGUGGCCUGAAGCGACUACAAAGGACUUUGCUUUAGUUUUCUCCUUCUUCUUUAUGUAGGUGUGAAGAGCCCCAAUUACUCUAGGAAUUGUUUUUGGAACAUGUUUUUUUUUUUUUUUUUUUUUUUUUUUUUUGAAGUAUUGCAAUGUACUCUUACCCCUUGAUAUUAUGAUUGUGUAGUUGGAAUAAUUUUAAAGUAAUUUAUUAUAAGAAGCUACUGUUUAUUGGCAUAUAAUAUAGACUCAAUUAUUGUGGCUAAAAGCUUGUAUUAUUGACAAUGUAGUGUGCAUUUAAAAGAGCUUCAUAUUCAUGGUCUUUGUUUUUUUAGCAUGAAUUGUAUAUGCAGCAAUUUGGAUUGAUACCACAUUUAGCCAUAUUGCUCUUUUCAUUCAAUUAGAAUGGCACAAGUCCAAGUGAAAGAUUGUGGAUUUGAUAUCAAUAGAAUAAUGUUGUAGCAAUCAAGUACUCUCUUGUAUUAAUUUUUUUUCUUUUCUCUGUUGAAUCACUCUAACAUAAGCAAAGUUGUAGGCAACAUUUUUUCAAUGGUAUUGUGUAUAUCUAAGUAAAAAUAAUACAUAUAUAUAUUUUUUUUUUAUUAUUUUUUUUUUUUUAUUUUCUAAAGAUCCAAAGAUUUAAAAAGUUCUUAGUGAAAAAUAAUUCUCCAAUAGUAGGUAAUUAUGAAUAAUAGAUUAUAAAGAACUUAAUGCAAGAAAUUGAUUUUUUUUAGGAUUGAGUUUAAAUAAUGAUUAUUUAAAUAUGCUAGUUAAGAGCCUACUUAAUUUUGUAUAUGAGUGCAAUUCUAUAGAAGAACAAAAUUUGACAAUUUACCUCAAAUCUUUACAAGUGAGGGAGCAUUCGUUGAAAAGAAGAUUAUUCCAAGUUAAUAUUAUUUUGUGGUGACAAUAAUACAAAUGUAGAAGAUAAUAUAUGCUCUGAAUUAGUACACCAAGUUGAAAAUUUAACUUUUGUGUCAUAUUUAUCAAUUUGAGAAUAGUCAAAAAAAGCUUGUCUUUGUAGCACCAUUAAGUGAUUAUUGGUAUAUUAGGCCAACUUACAAUUCAUUGCCACUUGAUCUCCUUAGUUAAGAGAUUUGUAACAAUCAACCAAUGGCAAGGAGUAGUGCAAUAGUAGAAGUGAACUGCUAGAAGGAUAGAAUUUAGCUAUAGCAAACCUCUUUUAUAUUGACUGGCGUACUUUGCAAUGAAUAAAGGUAUUUUUUUUUGAAAAAUUUUAUCUUAAAAAAAUUAGGUUAUAUUUUACCAAAGUUUUUUUUAGAUUAGAUGAAUUAGAUUCAAGAUUACAUUAUGUUAAUUUAGAUGAAUAAUUGAAGUUGAAUGGAAAAAUUUAAAUUAGAUAAAAAUUAUAUACAUGAAUUUUUAUAUUCAAAUAAAUUAUUAUAUUUGAAUAAUUAGUCAUUUAAGGAUGAAUUUUUUUUGAUGGAUGAAUAUUAAUCCAAAAUUAAAUAAUAAAUAAUAAAUAAUAAAUAAUAAAAUAAAAUAAAUAAAUUUAAAAAAGAAUUAUUUUGACGUGCAUGUUGUAAGUAAAUUAAAAUUAUGAGUGUGAAUUAAUUAUGGAGAUUUUUGCUUGAUAAUUUGGAUUUUUAAGACAAUUAAAAAAUGAAUUGAGUACAAUUUAAUUAAUAACUAUAACUUCUAAAAUUCUACAUAGUCAAUUCAUUUGAUGUAAAUUAGAAUAAACUUCUAACUAGUAGAGAUUUAAUUUAGCUCUCAUUUUGGUGUAUUUUUUAGGAGAAUUUAUCUUAUAAAUCUUAGGCUUACUUAAAAGGUAAUUAUUUUAUUGUUUUAUAUUUCUAUUUUUUUUUCUUGUGCUAAUACAAUUUUUUAGUAUUAUUGUGGAUUGUUGUUUUGUAAGAACUUGAAUUGAAGAAGGAGCUAGAAGAAUUUUAGAAUGAAAUAGAAAGAAGUUAAGUUAAGGAUUUAGAAUUAUUUCAAAGAUUAGAUUUAAAUUAAGAUUAAAUGAGGAUCUUCAUCAAAAAUAAAGCUCUUCUUCAAAAUUGGUCCUUUAUUUCUCCUCCUUAUCAAUCUCUUCUUGAAGGCCCAUCCAUAAUGGUUGAAGGAAUUUAAUCACUUUUUCCAUUCUUAUAUCUUCUUUUUUUUAUUUAAUUUUGAAUUCCCUAUUGGCAACAAUUCUCUAGUAGUAGAGGGAUUUAAAUUCCCUUCUCUACCUAUUAUAACUCUCCAUUCAUAGGUGUAAUAUAGGAAGAUAUUUUCAUCAAUAUUUCAUGAGAUUUUUCAUCAAUAUAUCAAAAAAAAAUAUUUGGAAGAAAAAAUAAAACAUUGAAGAGAUAGAGGAGAAAGAAAAAACAAAGAAGAAGGGAUAGAAUUCAAAUUCAAAGGCUACAUUUUAAAUUAAGUUCUCUUUGAAAAAUCAAUUGAAUUUUUAAAUUCUUAUUAAACUAAUAUAGAUUGUGAAUUGAGAAGCAAGGAGCUACAAAAAGAUGUUUGGUACUUAGAGAGUUCCAAUCAUCAAAUUGACUCAUUAGUUAUUUUAAGACAAAAGAUAUAUUUAGAAUGCUUAAAAUUAAAAUUUAUGGAUUCCUUAGAAAAAUAUUUUUCUAAUAAUAGAAAUAAUUAAAAUGUAAUAUAGAAUUCCUUAGAAAAAUAUAAAAUUAAAAUAUUAAUUAUAGCAAUGGAAUCUUAGUAAGUCUUGGAGGCAAUUAUCUUAGUUGAUUUAAUAUUUUUACUUAUUAUUGGAUAUUAAGGAUUAUUUAUUAAGAUCAAUAUUUUUAUUGGCCCUCUAUUUAUAUGUAUUACUUAUAAAAAAAUUAUAAAUAUUAGUUAGUAGUUAGAAGAAGCCUGAAAAAUAACCUCAUGUCUUUUUAGUUAGUUAUAUAGAAAGUAGAAUUUAUAGCAAAUUUAAAUUUAUUUUAUUAUUAUAAAAAAUUAAAAAAAUAGAAAAAUAUAGCUUAAAAUUAAUAUUAAUAUUACAAAAAUGUUAUAUAAAUUUUAAAAUUUUAUUUAGAAUUUAUUUAGAAUUUAUUUAGAAUUUAUUUAGAAAUGUUUAGAAAUUUUUAGAAAUUUUUAAAGAAGAUUUCAAGACCUUGAUAAAAUUGAGUUUUACCACCUUGAGAGCCAUUAUAAAGAAAUGAAGCAAGAUUUGAAGGCCAUACAAGGUUCUUAGGCUAAUUGAGUGUUUUUGAAUACCAUAGUGAAGUCAAAAAUGCAAAAAAAAUAGUUUUACUAGUAGGAAAUAGGAGGACCAGCAACUAGUUUAGUCCUUGUAAAAAAAGGAGGUGCACAAGUCCCAUAUGGAUUGUAGCACCUUGGACAUAGGUAAGAAGAUAAGACUAAGGCCUUGUAGCCUCUCUUAUAUACCCAUAUAUCCUACUUGUGAGCCUUAGUGAGGAUCGAACUCUUGAUCUCAUAAGUAAGUUAUCUUUGAGAUAAAAACUAUUCAUUUAACUUUUUAUUAAUUUACUUAUUAUUUUUAAACCUUCAUAACUUAUUUUUAAUAACUCGGAUUUACAUGAAUCUUAUACCAUUGAAAAGAUUAAAAAAUGAUCUAUCUAAAAAUAUAUAAUUUAUAAAUUAUUAUUUUUUUAAUUAAUUGAAAAUCUAGUAAAUAAACUAUGACUAGUUUUAUAGUGUACAGUUGUUUGAUUACAUUUGUUCCACUUGUUUUGUAUUGUGCUUCUUUUGUUCUUGUUCUUGAUACUUCUACUUCAUAACAUCAAUUAUAAAAAGCUUUUAAUUGACGCAAUCUUAUAAUUUGAAUUAAAAGAUAAAAUUUACCUUUACAAAGAAAAUAAAAUUAAAUAAGUUUUUUAGUUUUUGAAUUAUUUGAAUUAUUUAAAUUUUAGUGCAUACAUGUAGAGCAAAGAAAAAGAAGUUAGAGGGUAGAACCUAAGAGGGAGAAGUAAAAGAAAUACUCAUAUAUUAUCUUAUUUAGGACUUAAGUAUAGUGCGUUAGAAUAGAACCUUUACUUGUGACCAUAUCUUUUAAAUAUAGUUUGUGAUCUAUUAAAACAAUCAUUUAGAAGUUUUUUGUGUUGAUUUUUUAAUAUGUGAUAGCAUACCUAGUGAUGCAACUACAUAACUUCUUCUUCAAGUUGAAUUGAUGCAUGCAAAGAACUCUUUUUUCAAAAAUCUUUAAGAAUUAUUAGACCUUUUUUAUCAAACAUUAGGAUUUCAACUCUUGGAUUUGAUUCAAAAAUUCUUAGAAAUCCCUUUGAAUAAUUUGAAGAACUUUCUUUAGAUGACCUUGAAAAAAAUUCAAAAAAAUAUUUUUAAAUCUCUCAAUACAUAGUAUAAAUCAUUCAAAUCAAAAGAAUAUUCAUUCAUCUCAAUUACAAAAAAUAAUGGAUUAAAAUAGAAUAAUAAUAAUAAUAAUAAUAAUAAUAAUAAAUAAAAGAAAACCACCACCCAUGCUAAUUAAUUCUUUGGUUCAAUCAAAGAGCUUAGUAUUCAAGUCUUAGAGAGACUUAAUAUUAUUCCUAUGCUUUCUAAUCUUUUUAUCUUUAAAGCUACAAGGAAUGAAGAUCCUUUCGUCCACAUGGAGCAUUUUUAUAAAAAUAUUCACUAUAUAUUUAAUAAUAGAUGUCUAUUAUUAUUUAGUAUGAUUUUUAAUCACAUUAAAAGACUGAGCAUAUGAGUGGUAAUACAACCACUCUUCUAACAAUUUUUUAAAUUAGAAUAUGAUUCAAUGUACCUUUUUAGAAUAAUUAUGGCCUAAAAUAGGACAAAGUAUGGUUUUAAUUGCUUUAUCUUUUGUUAGACAAGAAAAAAAUGAAGUUCUUAUAUUUUAUAUUUAACAUUUUGAAUUAGUGGUGAUAAGGUUUGUAUGAACCUUGGUCACCAAUGACACCUUAAAGCAUUUUUUAUUCAAGGAUUUGUUAAAAAUAAGAUAAUUAAAAAAAUCUUUUAUACACAACUUAAAGACCUUUUAGCAACUAAACAUGUAGUAAAGGAAGUAGAAUAAAUAAAUAAUGAGCAUGAAAGACUAUGGCAUAAAGAAGACCACAAUAUCCUUAGCUUCAUAUCUAUACAUAUUAUGAUUCCUUAUACAUCGAGCUCUCAGAUGCAUGAACAAUUGCCACUGAUUUUAACAAUUAUAAGAGCAUAUUUCUUAUCUUUAAAUACUAAGCCUCUACCUCUUUCAAUGGCCUUCACAUAUCCCAUUGAAAAUAAUAAGUAGAAGGAGGAUUUUCAAAAAAAAUUAAAAAAUUCCAAUUGAAAUUUCAAAUCCAAAUCUUUCAUCAAAUGAAGUUAAUGGCAAAAUAAUUAUUUGGAUUAACUAAAAAUUCUAAUAUCAAUAUUUUUCUACCUCCCAUUGAAUCAAGAAGAUAUACAACAAGAUUAUGGUAUACUCAAUGUGGACAAUCAAGGCAUUCAGCUCAAUUUUGUAAUUCCAUUUCUUCACAAAUAGAGUGGUUUCCUUAUAACCUCUACUUAAUAAUUAUCUCCAAUAGUCAUUUGAUAAUCCUAGGGGAUCAAAAAAACCUCCAAUAAAUAAAAACGUGAGGUCUUUAAACUUAUAUUAAGAUUAUGAGAAAAAUAGAUAAAAAGAACAUAUACCUAGUGGGCUUCAAAUCAAUUCUUGAUAUAUUCUAUUAAAUCCUAAUUAAAAUUAAAAUCCUUCUAAUUAACCAAAACAUAGUCAAAGGUCUUAAGAUGUGAAAUUUAUAUCUUAGCCCAUAGGAGAGUUGGAACUUAUUCAAAAUUUUGUCCAAUCUAAUAUCAAUCAAGCCUUUUUUUCCAAAUUAAAUUCAAUAAUCUUUAAAAAAAAUCAAUAAAAAAGAAAGAACUUACUUGUGGUAUUAGCCCUAGUAAUAAUGACUAGAUCUAAGGCCACAUCUUUAUUUAUAUAUUAAGAAGAAGAGAAUAGUGCCUCAAAGAGUCGACCUUGCUUUUCAGAUUUAAAAUAAGUCAUAAGGGACACAAUUAAGAUAAUUCAAAAUAACAAGGCUAAAUUUGUGAGAUUUGAUUUCUUGAUAGAAGAAUUAUUUUUUCAAAAUCCUAGAGUUGAACACAAGUCAAGUAUUAAUCCAGAUAACUAUAGUUAGGAAGAUCCUAAAAUUCCAAUAUUUAAAAUUUUCCAACAACACAAGAAUGUAGAAGAAUUCCAUAAAUAAGAAUAUAAUAUAUGAGAUGAUUUUAAUAAGUUAAAGGCUAAUAUCACAUUUUUUCAACUAUCGGAAAAUUCUUUAAUAAUUUAGAAGAUAUUAAAAAAUUAUAUUUUCAUGAGAAACAAAAAAAAGGUCUAAGAUUAAGAUGGCGGCAAAAAUAGAUGCAUAUACUAAAUGAAAUGAAGUGAAGGCAAUAAAAAUUGAGGUUUCUAUUGUAGACAAAAUAAUUUCUCAUACCAUUGUACAUGGUGGUAGUGGUUUGAAUAUCAUGCCCUUCCAAACCAUAACAAAAUUAGGACUAAAAAUCACUAGUCCAUCUAUUCUAAUAGGUCAAAUUAAAAAUUAUAAAACUUAGAUUGAGAGAAAAAAAAAAUAUACCUUAAUAUAACAUAUUAUUUAGAUGUAUACAUUAAAUGACUCUUUUUUUUUAUUGCUUAGUAGGCCAUGGUUGAGGGAUUUAAAAGCCAUGGUCAAUUAAAGAAGAAAUAAGCUCUAUAUUAUAUUUGAUCUAUGGAAAAAUAGAACCAAAAUUUUCAUACAACCUAUCCUUGAUUAUAAAAAAAUUAAUUCCAUUGAUUUGUUAGAAGAUACAAAAAAAUCUAAAAUAUAAGGAAAUUUUUUAAAAAAUAUAUUUAAUUUAAUUGAUAAAGAUUUAAAAAAAAUAAAAUAUUUAGGUCUCAACUUUUAUUAUUAGAAGGAUGACGGAGAAUUCAAACAAUAAUUAAGAAAUCAUCAAGAUUCUAAUUUUGAUUUUUAUGAAUCAAUUAAUUUUUUUGAAGAUACAUUAGAGAUGGUAAAAUUUGAAGAAAUCCAUGUAUUUAGUAUUAAUAUAGAUGGAACAUUAAAAAAAAAUUAAGUCCUUAAAAGAGAUAAUGACUUAAUUUUACUUCUUAGAUUCACUUCAUCAAAAAUUAUGGUUGACAAUGGAAUUGUCAACCAAUCCUUUAUACCUAAAUAUUGAUACAAAUUUUUUUUAAAACAAUCUCUAAUACAAAAAUCUAAAUAGAAAUUUAUUGAUAUUUUUAAUGAAGAAGAAGAUUCCAAAAAGAUUAAAAUUAGAGCUCAUUUAAAUUAAGAAGAGGUAUCUAGAUAUCAUGAUUUAAUCAUGAAAUAUCAAAAAAAAUUACAAGCACUUAAUAUAGUUGUCUUCUUAAUAGUCUUAUUAGAUGUACCAAUCAACUCUUUUAAUAGUUAUUUGAGGCUAUGUCAUUUGUCUCUGAGAGACAAUAGCUAUUCCGAGUACUGGUCCUCAAUGCCUUUAUUGGGAAGUUCUAUUUUUCUUCUUUGUCUUAUUAUAGACAUAGUGAGUUUCAAAAUUGUGAACCAAUCUUAUUUUUCUUGUGGUUGAAUUUUGAUGUUUUGGACAACCUUUGAUUUAAUGGCCUGGCUCUUGAAAAUGAAAACUUAAUCUCUUUUGCACCAAUAUUUUUCAUCUCUAUAGUAUCAAUGAUCUUUGUAGGGCAUCAAUCUUUAUUGGUACUAGUUAUUGUGUCAUAGUAUUAGAUAGUGGCAUAAAACUAUGUGCUAUAGGUUGUAUUCUACGAUUUAUGAAAUCUAUAGCAUCGACCUUCUCUAUAAUCCGAAUUGCCUCUUUGAAUGUUUGUGGAUCCUUUAAUUCUACCUCUUACUAGACCUCAGGUUUCAAACCUUGUAGGAAUCAAUCCAUCAUCUUUGCCUCCAAAAUAUUGUCAAUUUAGAGAUAAAGGGACUUGAAUCAAGAGAUGUAAUCUUGUAUCUACCUAGAUUGUGUAAGACUUGCCAACUGAUUAUAUGCUAUCUUCUCUGCAUUGAUGUACUAAAAUUGAUUCCUAAACUUGGUCUCAAACUCCUUCCAAUCACAAAAUAUACCUUAAGCUCUAUAGCUUUGAAUUCAAUGUCGUUAUUAAAUAGCUACAGCAACUUUCAAAUAGCUGGUUGUAUAUAUAAUUCCUUGCGUGGUAUUUGCUUCCAAAUAAUUAGAAAUAUUGUUGCAUAUUGAAGAGCCAUUAAUAUACAUCUUCUUAUAUUAAAGUCCUAGGAUAUGGACUAGACUUAUUCAAUUUCAACCUAACAUAUAUCGAUUCUUUUGUCUUUGAGGCUUCUAUUUGCCCUUGCAAAGUAUUUAUCUAGCCUAAGAAGUGGUGUAUUUGAGCUUCUAUCUGGAAUUACUCUGCCAUAUCUCCUAUACUCUAAUUUCUUUACUGGACUCUACUAUUGUGAUGCCUUCUUACCUCUUGAUUGAUUUUUUAAGAGUAACUUAUGGUAGCCUCAACAUAGUAUUCAGUGUGACUACAAUAACUGAACUUUGGACUAAAUGAUGACCAUCAACAUACUACCAAAGAAUAAUCUAACACUUGCUUUGAUACCAAUAAAAUGGGACCAAUCUAUCUUAAGAGUCUAAUACUCUUCUAAUCCAUAACAACAUAAAAUCUCAUCACAAAAAUAGUCCAAAAUAAAAUUGAAUAAAAUUAAAUAGAAUAAGAUAUAAAAGAAAAAAUUAUACAAACAAAAAUAGAACAAAAUAGAAUUAAACAAGAAGAAGCAAACUCAAACUUUACUAAAAGAGAAGGUUCAAAGCCAUACCUAGCCAGAUGCCUCAUAAAGUCCUUGCGAGUCCUAUUUAUAUUUUAUUCUACUACCUUAGACUUUCUAGAAUGUUCCUAGAUGAUAGACUCCACUUUGUUAACUACCUUAAGUUCCUUCUAGAAAGUUCUAUGGUAAAUUCUACCUAAAUAAAUUGUCCUAAGUUUUUUCUAAAAGAUUCUAUAGUUGGCCCUACCUAAAUAACCACCCUAAAUUCUUUUUAGGAUGUUCCACAAUGGGUCUUAUCUAGUCCAUAAAUCUAAUCUUAAUUCUAAAAACUUUCAUAACUUUUCAAACAUGGUUCUAUCCCUAAGUGUCAAUAAUACAAAUAUCUUAUUUAUAUCCUAUUAUAGGUAUAUUAGGCCAAUUUACAAUUCUAUUGCCAUCGAAUUUUUUUAAAAAAGAGAUUUGUAACAAUUGACCAAUAGUGAAGAGUAUUGCAAUGAUAGAAAUAGACUAUUGUAAGGAGAGAACUGAGUUGUAGCAAACUUCAUCCAUAUUAACUAACUAUUAUAGACAUACAUAUUUACUUUAAUAUUUAUCUAUAUAAUUAAGUAAAAAUAGAUAAAAAUAGAUUUAUUUUAUACUAUUUAGAAUAACUUUCUAAAAAAUUUAUAGAUAUUUCUUUGAUCGUAUAUGUCUUUUUAGUUGAUGAAGAGGUUAGAAACUUAGUCAACAAAUUAAUUAUGUAUUGAUAGCUUAUGGUGUUGUAUUGUAAUAAAACUAUAUGAUAAAAAUAUAACCAAAAAUGAAUUUUUAAUUAAUAUUUAAUCAUCUAGGUUCAAUAAUAAUUUAAGAUAUUUAAACGUGGCUUUUAUAAAAGCUUCUUAGUUUAUUUUUUUGUCUUAAUAGCUAGUAGAUUAAAGGUUGAUUAGUAAUUUUACCUUCUAUGUUGUAGAAACUCUUUUGUUCUUUUAGAAAGGCCAUCAAUUGAUAAAAUAAAAUUAGAAGAAGUAAAUAAUUAGCAUGGUUGAUACAAAGAUUAAGUUAAAGGUUAGAUUUGGCUAAAAAUAUCAUUAGGAUAGAUUAGAUUGAUACCCAAAGGUAGAGCAUUUAUGGAAUAAGAUUGAAAUCAAACUUCUAGCUACUAAAAUAAUGGCCUAAGAUAAAAUAGGAGAGCAUUCAAAGAUCACAAAUUAUAGUUGAUGAGCUAGCUUCAAGUUUAUUGCAGAGGUAUAACGCUUUUUUUCAAAGGAUUUGAAAUGACUUUGUAAUUGUUGUUCAAAGUUAGAGUUUGUAUUGGUGAUUUGGAAUUUAUGCAAUACAAUUAGGGCUAGUACUCUUGCCUAUUUGUGUAAUUGGUGUGACAAUCAUAGUUUAAACUUUAAUAGUACUUAGUUGAUUGGGUGUGCUAAGUGUGUAUAAAAUUUUGUAUUAAUCUAAUAGUGCAAUUGAGAGAUAUCUAGGUAUUGGUACAAAAAGAUAUUAAAAAUUGGUUGUUUGAGAUUGGAUAGGAUUUCUAUGAUAUCUAAAGAUUUACAAGUCAUAUCACAAAGAAAUUUAGCAUGGUUGUAGAGGAUUUUAAUAUUAAACUAUAUAUUAAUUUUGAUUUGAAGUUAAUGGUUGGAGAAGGAAAAUUUACUUUUGGAACAUUUGCAUCAACUUUCAAGUUGAUAACCAAGUGACAUUAGUAUAGUUCUUAGGCCUUUUUUCACAAUCUAUAGGUUAAAUUCCAUUGAAUUUAUUUUCGAUUAUAUGGAAGGCUUAUAGUGGCAUUUACGUACAAAAUUUUACACCAUGUGGAUGGUCAAAUUAGGAAUUAUAGCUUGCCAAAGCUCACUGAUUAGUAUUAGGAUUUAUAAAGAGAUAUCAAAAUUAUCUAAUUAUAAAAGUAAUAAGGCAAUUGGAAUUUAUGUAUAGUUGAAGUUACUAAAAAGACUAUUUUUGAGCACUUUGUAUUGAUUUUAAGUACUUUUGAAUUAAAAUUCGAAUUUUAUUUUUCUUAUUUAGAUGAAAUCUAUUAGGGUUUUUUAGAUAUUAAUAAAAUAUAACUUCACCUUCUACAAUCAGAUGCUUGGUAUAUUUCUAAAUAAGAAAAUAUAUAUGACAACAGCAAAGUAAGCUAACUAUGUAGUGUACAUAUAGAAAACUUGUCUUGCAAGUUAAGAUACAUGUCUUAUAAAGUCAACACAUUUUAGAGGUUCUAUAGGACAUUGUUAUGUAAUUCUUAGUUAAAAGUAUAUAUAGAGAUAAGAAUGAAUCCUUCUUUACUCUUGUCAACACUUUUUUAGUCUUUAAUCUUAUUUCAAGACUUUCUAGUAUUCUUAUUUUUGGCAAUAGCCAUUCUAAUUUAAUACCAUAUCAUCUUUAAGCAAAUUUUUAAUUCUUUUGAGUAACACAAGAGUGUAUUAAGGAUUUCUUUUUUCAAGAUUUAUGUCUUUGAUAAUUUAAAAAGAGUGCUAACUUAUUAUUUUUGUCUUGUUUUAGAAGUGAGUCGAUUAUUCUACUUCUAUUGUUGUGUUUUGAAGGUUGCAAACUAUCUACCUUUAAAAAAAUAAACUUAUUUUUAUUUAUUUUUUUUUUCUUUAAAAAAAGUAGAUUAUCCUUCUUUGUAGACGUUUUCAUUUGAUAUUAAAAGUUGUAGAUUAUCCUCCUCUAAUUUAACUUUUGAAUUUGUUUGAAUUAUCUAUAAAAGAAAAGAUUAUAGAUGCUAUUCUUAAUAGAAGUGGAAAUAGAUUUGUAACUAUUACAGAUCUUUAUGAGCUUAUUAACACCCUAAGAGUAAAAAUCUCAUGUAUUUCCAAUGUAAAUUAUAGAAGUACUAUUCCUAUGCUUAUGGAAGAAUUUCAAAUUCAACAUCAAGAAGUUGUACAAUUGAAAGAACAAAAUAGAUUGACCUUACAACCAUAUUUAAGAAGUUUUUUUUUUUCAAGUAUGAUGGGGAUAAGGAUUAAUAUGCCGAAGAAGUUUGAUAGAACAAAAUCAAAAUUUAAAAGAUUUUUGCAAUAAGUCAAGCUCUAUCUAAGGUUGCAUCCCUUCCAAUAUCCUAAUGGAUUUAUAAAAGUUGGAUUCAUAUGUACACCUCUAUCAAAAAGUGCUCUCUCUUAAUUUGCUUCUUUAAUAGAAAAAAUUUGUGACUCCUUUAUGAAUUGAAUUUAUUUCUAGAAGUGUUUAUCACUACAUUUGGAAAAAGUGAUUAAGAAAAUGUAGUAGAGACCAAGCUCUUAUGUUUACAACAAAGAUCAUAAUCAGCGACCACAUAUGUUGGUGAAUUCUAAAACCUUGCUUGUAAUAUAGAUUGGAAUGAUAAAGCCUUUGUCAAUCAAUUUUGAUAUGGAUUGAAGAAUAAUGUCAAAGAUUUGUUAUUAAUAAUGUAGAAGUCAAAAUCUUUAGAACAAUUUAUUGCUUAAGCCAUUGUAUAUGACAAUUGAUUAUUUGAAAGACUUCAAGAAUAAAGACAAGGCUAGAGAAGAACAAGUCAAAUAAUGAUGGCAACUCCCAAGUUUUUAGAAACUUAUUCAUCAAGGUAAAAAUCAAUACAAAUUGAUUUAGUAUAUUUUAAAUCUCUCGUGGGAUAGAAAAAGACUCAACAACGUCAAGAAGACUUAUGCUUAUAUUAUAGAGAAGUUAAACUCACUAUUCAAAAUUAUUCAAAGAAAAAAUGCAAUCACAAAAUAAAAAGCAUGGUAGCCAAAGAAGACAGUGUAUCAGAAACAAGUUUCUCUAGCUACAAUAGGGACUUUGUGGUUAGAAUCUUUUAUAAAUCCUAAUAAAGGUCAUAUUUUUUCUUAAGUUCUUUCACCUUAUUUUAGAAUAGAAGUUUAUUUAGGACCAAAAAAUCACAAAGUUUUAGCUUUGUUAGAUUUAAGCGCUUCAACCUAUUUUAUAGAGGAGAUUUUUUCAAAAAAUAAGAGAUAUUAUUAGUCAAAAAAAAUAAACAUGUACAUGUAGUAAUCAUAAAUGGUUGUUUGCUAUCUAUUAGAGAUGUUACAUAUGAGAUUUUUCCUUUAAAUAUAAUAAUUAAAGAUCAUAAUAGCAUAGUAAUAUUUAAUAUAAUAAGAUCUUUAUUCAAUCUAGUUAUUUUAAGAUUAUCUUAAUUAAAAAAGUAUAAUCUUCACAUAGAUUGGAUUUCUUGUAAUCUUAUUUUUUUUAUAGUUUAAUCUAAAAUCUCGUUAAUCAAGUAAAAAUAUAUAAGUCUAGUAUAUCCAUACCCUUAAUAGUAGGUAUAAGAGCUUUUAUGUAUGCUGCAAAAGAAGGAUCAUCUUUUGAUAUAUAUGCCAUGCUUAUUUCUAAUUGUGGAAAGAUAUGAAGUAAUAUUCCUAGCUUGUAUCAAGAUUUUUAAGAUAUUAUUUGAAAAAAUACUAAUAUUCUUCUAAAGCAUUGUCUUUAUGAUUGUUCUAUUGAUCUUCAAGAAAGGACUCAACUACUAUUUGGACCAAUCUUUAGUCUAUUACAAAACAAGUUGGUUACAUUCAAAGAAUCCAUUGAUGAGAAUUUGGCUAAAAAUUUUAUUUUCCAUUUUAAAUCUCUAACUAAGAUUCUUAUCUUUUUUUUAAAGAAAAAAGACAAAUCUCUCAAAAUAUGUGUUGACUAUUAAAGAUUCAAUGAGAUCACCAUUAAGAAUUAUUGAAGAAACAUAAUAAGCAAGACACAAGUAGGUAAAAAUUAGGAAGGUUAAACACAAGAGAAGUAUGGAAUGAGAUACUUCUUACUUUCAAUACCUUUUACUUAUAGAUGAAGUUUACAUCCAUUGUUGCUCAACUUCAUUUUCAUUCAUCCUUAUUUCAUCCAACUAAAUUCUAGAUUCCAGUUAACCUAGCCGCCAUUUAACUUAGUCGCCACUGUAAACCCUAGCAGCCACCUUAGUAACUUUUUUAUUACCUUUUGUUGUCCUUUAACCAUUAGUAACUUAUAUUAGAUAAUAUCUUUUAUUUGUCCAACAUUUAUUUUAUCACUCUCACUUUGUUAUUAGUUAAAGGCUUCUAAACCUAAUGCCUUUGUUAAUUUAUAAUGUCUAUCCUUCACCAAUGCUUUUGUAAGCAAAUCAACAAGCAUGUCUUCCAUUGCAUAAUACUUCAUGUCAAUCACUCCAAUUUCAAUCUUUUUCCAUAUAAAGUGAUGUUAAAUGUCAAUGUGCUUUGUCCUUGAAUGAUGUUUUGAGUUCUUUGCAAAGGUAAGGCAUCCUUGAUUAUCAUACUUUAUUGCAGUUGCUUCCAAUUGCACAAGUUCAAUAUCUUCUAAAACUUCUCUUAGCCAUAUUGCCGCCAUUGCACCAUGACUUCCUGCCACAUACUCCGCUUUCAUUGUAGACCUUAUAAUUCUUGGUUGUCUCUUAUAAUUCCAUGAAAUUGCUUCUAUCCCAAUAAAGAAUACAUAUCCUAUUGUUGACCUUCUAUCAUUUGCAUCUCCAGCCCAAUUCACAUCACAAUAACCAUGUAAUGCAAUGUUAUCACCUCCAAUGCAUAAUUUGAAGUUUAAAGUACCUUUUAAGUACCUCAAGUUUUCUUAAUGGUUGCUCAAUGGAUUGGUCCAACCUUCGACAUGUGUUGACUUACAACACUUACCACAUAUGCAAGAUCCAUCUUUGUACCAACCAUUGCAUAUAUAAAUGAGCCAAUUGCUAUCUUGUAUGGAACAUCUUUCAUUUCAUCUUCAACUUCAGUAAAUCCCUCAUCCGUGAGCUUCAUCAACUUUAGUAAAUUCCUCAUCCAUGAGCUUCAUCAACUUCAUAUUUGCCUCCAAUGGUGUUUCAAUAUGCUUACACUCCUCCAUAUUGAAUCAUUUCAAUACUUCUUCAAUAUACUUAUUUUGGCUCAAUAUAAUGAUCUUCUUAGCUUAAUCUUUUACAAACUCUACUCCUAAGCAAUAGUGGAGCUCUAUCAAAUCACUCAUCUCAAAUUCUUUUGCUAGUUUUGCCUUCAACCAAUCAAUCUUUUUCAAGAUGUUGGUCAAAAUGAUUAAAUUAUUAAUAUAAAGAAUAACAAUCAAUAAGAAGACUUUUGAUUGCAUUACAUAUUUGGAAUGAUCAACAUCUCUUCUUAUAAAUCCCUCAUUCACAAAGAAUGUAUCCAUGCAUUGGUGCCAUAUCCUUGGUGAUUGCUUGAGUCCAUAUAAGGAUUUCUUCAACUUACAAACAAGGUGUAGCUUGCUUUCUUCAACAAAUCCUUGAAGUUAAUCCAUGUAGAUGUCUUCUUCUAACUUUUCAUUUAAGAAAGCCAUCUUCACAUCCAUUUGAUGCAUCUCUAAGUCCAUUGCUGCACCAAUUGCCACAAUAGUUUCAAUGGUGGUGAAUUUGGCCAUGGAAGCAAAUGUCUCAUUAAAAUCAAUACCAGCAACUUAUGAAUAGCCUUUGGUAACCAAUCUUAUCUUAUACUUUACAACAUUAUCCAUUGCAUCCUUCUUUAUUUUAAAUACCAACUUACAACCAAUUGAAGCUCAAUUUGAUGGAAGUUGAGUCAAUUCUCAUGUUCUAUUAUCCACAAGUUAUUGAUAUUCUUCUUCCAUGGCUUUUUCCCACUUCAAAGCAUUUGUGGACUUCACUGCAUCACACAAACUCAAUAGAUUAGUAAGAAGUGCAAUGUUGGCAUGUUCUUUACUUACUUGAAGAAAGAUGUGAUUCUUCUACCAUUCACCAUGUUGUUUUCUAUCCCUCAAAGGAUAUUUUCUUUCAUUUGAAGAAGACUCAAUUUAUUACAUUCUAUGGUCUCCUCCAACCUUCUUUUCUUUUGUAGAUAGUCCUUUUUCACUCAAAGGUUGAUAAUCCACAUCACCAUCAUCAUCAUUUUCAUGCUCUUCAUUGUUGGUCUUAGCAUUUUCAAAGCCCAUAUUCUCCACCUUCUUUGUCUCUUCAUCUUCAUUUCUAUCUUUACAACCAUCAUUGUCUUCAACUUCUUCUUUCUUUACUGAAUUUGAAGAUGAAUCCACAAUCAUACUAUUACGUCUACUUGGACACAUCUUCAAGUGCUCACAAGCACUCUUAUGCUCCAAAAACUCAACAUCACGGUGUCGUGAUGUAACACGGCUAACAAGCAAAAGGAUGAAAAAAAUAUCAUGUUUUGAGGAUCUCACUUCAAAAAUAUUAUAGCAAAUUAUUUUGAAAAAAUAGAUAUUAGUCAAAGGGUAGAAAAAUUAAAGGUGCUAAUGAUGCCUUUUUACAAGUUAUCCUUCUAUUUACUUUGUAAGGCCAUAAAUAAGACAAAAUAAGGUAGAUUAGAAAAAUAAAGGAUAUAGACAUAUUUAGGAAGGAGUUAGGAGUGCAAAUUAGUAAAAAUUACCUCAAGAAGAUGAAAGUUGAUACCCAAAGAGGACCGGUUAUGAACCUGGGUCGAAAUCAGACCCCGAGGCACAAAACCGUGCUUUGACGGCGACUCAAGGGUUCUUUGGAAGAUCGAAGAGCCGAAUUAGGGGACAGACUUGUGGAGGGAUUUUUGAGAGGUAAUUUUGUGUUGUUUGGAUUAGUAUUGGAUUUUUGAGGGAUUUUCUAAGCAAGUGAUGUUCUCUGUGAAUUCAGAUCUUUGAGAAAUAAAACCAGUUUACAAAUUUUUGGAUUUCAUGUCUUUUGUAGCAUUUUUAUAGGUGAAAAUUUAGAGAGUUAUUGGUAUGCUUGUUGUGAAUGUGUGUAAGAGAUUUGAGGUCAAUCAAAUGGCUAGAUCGAUACAUAUGAAGGUUUUUGUAGGCUAAGGUCUUGGAAUUUAGGGUUUUAAGGACUAGUAAGGUUUUCUUAGAUAUCUAGCAAUUUACCAAUUGAAUUGGAAAGAUUUUUGGUUUUAUCAGUAGAAGACUUGAUUUCCUAUAUGCAAGUAAAAUUUGGAAGCAAUCGAACAAUGGAAAAGGAGAUAUCAGCGCUGAAAGUUGGCAUCAAGAUUAGAGAAGGAAAGACCAGCCGACAUCCAAGAGGAAUUUUGAGGUCAUGGACUAAUUGGUACGUGCAAUUUUCUUCAAAAUUUGUAUGCUGGUUUUCAACUUAAACUCUAAGAAGUGUCCAAAUUUUGAAUUAGAAUCAAUAGUUCAAUCUUUAGUUAUUUAAUUUUCAAAUCUAUGAUUAGGAUUUGAUUUGGAUUAGGAUUUGAUUAGAGUUUAGGAUUAAGAUUUGAUUAGGAUUUGGUUUAGGAUUUAGGAUUUGUUAGAGUUAGGAUAUGGUUUAGGAUUUGGUUUAGGAUUUAGAAUUUAGGAUUUGAUAUAGGAUUUGAUUUAGGAUUUAGGAUUUGGAUUAGGAUUUGGAUUAGAGUUUAGGGUUUGGUUUAGGAUUUGGUUAGGGAUUGAUUUAAGAUUUAAGAUUAGAUUAAAGUUUAAUUGGAGUUUGAUUUAGGAUUUAGGAUUUAUCUAGAGUUUGAUUAAGGUUUGAUUAGGAUUUAGUUUAGGAUUUAGGGUUUGUCUAGGAUUUAAGUAAGGUCGGAUUAGGAUUAGGGGUUGGUUAGAAUUUAAGAUUUUAUUAGAUUUUUGUUAGGAUUUGAUUAAGUUUUCUUUAAUAUUCUUUUAUAUUUCUUUAGAAUUUUCUUGUGUUUCUUUUAUAACUUCAAUAAAAUUUAAUUGAGCUUGCUUAAUGUUUGAUUAUGAUUUUUAACGUUUAAUUAUAAAUUUUCUAUAAUCCUAUUGGAUUGUUAGGACUUUUUGUUGCAAUUUUCUUUUACCUUCAUUAUCCAGGUACCUGGUGCAUUCUCAAGCAAGAGUUCACAUAAUACGACAUAUUUGAUGAACCUGACGUGAAAAACUUGAAUUGAGAGGUAUUUGGAGUUUCUUUGAUCUAUUUGGAUUAUAGAGAAAGAAUGCAAGAGAAUGGAAGGAAGAGCUUUUGGUGGUGCUUCAAGUGGAGUUGGAAGUGGAGCUUCAAUUGAAAGACAAGGUAUGUAUUUUGAUUUCAACUCUACAAGCAUGUUUGAGACAUUGGCCUUAUUCAUGAAACAACAACAUGUUAAGGAUCGCAAAGAGGGCAUGGCAGAAAAAACAUUACAAGCUGUUGUAGACAAGAUUGAUCAAUUAGAAGGGAAGGAUAUUACAAAAUAUUUAAGGUAUUACAUAAAAGAAAUGGAAUUAAAGUGUGUUUCAGAGAAGGAGAUGGUUCAGCUAUUUGAAUUGGCUACUGUACCAGAAAUAAGAAAUCAUAUGAAGUCCAUUAUAGGACAUUCUGGAGGUUCAUGGGAAAAAUUAUUUCAAUUAUUAAAGAAUGAGUAUUUUUUAGAAGAUAGUGACCGAGUUACAAAGAAGUCAUUUUUUGAAUGGAUUGAAAGGCAUAAGAAGGAUCUACUAGCAAUGAAGUUAUUAAAGAAGUUUGAAAUUUUGUUGGAAGAUGAAGAAGAAGUUGAAGAAUUGACAACAAAUUGGGAGAAAGUAGAAGAGGUGAUUGGGGUGCUUGUAAAAAGAGAAAGGAGAAAAGAUAGGAUAGAAAUUCAUAGACCAUUGCAAGCAUCUAAAGAAAAAAAUGUCUGCUAUCUAUCCUACAUCUAUGAUUCAACCUUAAAUGACUACAUCAAAGAGAGAAGAAAUGGGCAUUGAUGAAAUUAUAUGAGAGAUGAGAGAUUUGUAAAUAAAAUUUACAAAACUUGAAGAGAUGGGUCAAUCAUCAAGAAUAUCAACAAGAAAAAAUUUAAGAGCAAUAGAAGGUAUGGUACAUAGGUGCAUGUAGUGUGAUAGCAUAGAUCAUUGAAGAAGGGAGUGUGAGGAUUUUUUAGAGGUGCUAUGCAAAGGAGUUGUUUUUUUUUAAAGAUGGUAUAAUACACUUAAAAGAGAGUGGAGAAAAAUUAGAGACAAAUUUUGGUAGAAGGGGAAUGAAGGUAUUUGUAGAAGAUGCUUUCAAGGUGCAUACAACUUCAAGCAAUGAAGCAUCAACAUUUUGGGUGGGAGAAAAUCCAAGCAAAUGCUUAAGUAUAAAUCUUGAGUAUUCAAGAGAAUCUAGUUCUUUAUGAUCAAGUGUAAUGAAUUAUGCUGAAAAGGGAAAUUUUACUAGAGAUGAUCUAAAACAUGUUGGCAAUAACAUUCAGCAAAUUAUUAGGUGAGAUGAUCCAGUAGAUAGAUUAUCAGUUCAUGCUCAUAUUUUAAGGAGUCAACAUGAAGUAUUAAUAGAAGAAAAAUGAAGGAGAGAUGAAAAUCUUGAAGGGCCAUCAAAAAAUAUCACAAGGAAAGAUAAAACUUGACAACAAAAGAAUCUUAUGCAUGAAGAGACAAUAGAGAAUAUUUCUACAAAGGAGAGAGAGAUUGUGAAAGAAAAAGUAAAGAUUCGUGCUUAUAAAUUACAAUCAGAUAUUGAAGCUGCUACAGAUUUGAAGAAAGUAUUGGAGGAGCGGAUUUUAAGUAGAAAGGUUGAAUUUAUAAUUGGUGAAAUUCUAGGAAUUACAAAACAAGAAUUUUAUGAAGUUAUUAUUGAUACAAUUAAAAGAAAAGGACAAUCUAUUGGUGAUAUUAUGACAUCAAAUGCACAAGGUACAAAGGCAAUAGGAAGCAAUAAAGUUGAAGAAAUUGAAAUGCAAAUUGUUGGAGAUGUUUCACUAGUCAAAUUUACAGGAAAAGAAGAUAUGAUUCAAGCUUCUAGUCAUUAUUCUCGAAGUCAUUGGACAAGGGCUACUAUAGAAACUUUAGUAAAAUUGGGAGAUUUAGAAGAAUCAAUUGUAGCAUUAAUUGAUCAUGGUUCUGAAAUAAAUUUAAUGUCAACAGAAUUAUAUAAAAAGAGAAAUUGGCCUAUUGAUAUUGAAUAUGGGUGGAUGAUAAGAGCAACAAAUAAUUCAAAGAGGGAUUUGCAUGGAGCUUGUCCAAAUAUCAAGGUGACAAUAGGAGAUGUUAUUCAUGAAAAAAAUUUCUUUGUGCAAGAUAUAUCUACAUAUCCUAUUAUAUUAGGACAACCAUAUAUUAUUGCCAUACGAAUAGAGACAAAGGUUAUGGAUGAUGGAUCAGCUUAUGCAAGGAUAAGAAGUGAAGACGGAAAGAGGGCAGUGCAAUUUUUAAUAGUUUGUGCAAAUCAUGGAAGAAAUAGGGAUAGUUUGAGGGAACAUCCUUUGCCAAAGAUACAUAAAGAAUUUGAAGAUCUUGAAGACUCAAAGGAUUUUUACUAGAUGCCAUUGUAAAGUGGGAUUGCAAUGGUAAAAAGAGUGAAGGCUUCUUGCUUAAUAGAAAGGAUGAAGAUAUUAUAGGAUUAUUGGGAGACGGAUAUAUUUUAUUCAAAAACAUAAAUAAUUUUAUUAGGAUAGAUAAGAAAAAUGUUAAAAAUGUAGAACAUGGAUUAAAGAAAUGUGGAAUGAUUGAUGAAGAUGAAUACAUAUCAGGGAUGUUUGAAGAAUCUUGUUUUGGUGAUACUAUGAAUGAUUUACAAAUAUUAUUGAAUGGAGAUUUUAAAAGAGGUGAUAAAGUAAUAAAUGUCCAUUCUAAGUAAUUUUAUGAUGGAAUAAAAGAAUAUAUAGAUAGGUCUGAAGUGAAGGUGAACACAAAAUACAAGAAUGUUGCAAGGAAGGUUAAACCAGUGGCAUUGCUACUACCAUUGGAUUUUGAAGAAAGGAUUAAAGGGGCUUCUAUGCAACCUAAUUUAAGAGAUCCAAGGAAAAUAGGUCAUGAAUUCAAGGAUAAUUUGACGUUAGAUAGUUUGAAAAUUGGAUGUGAUAAAUUUUUGACAAGAAAUGAGGAGAGAUUUUUUAAAGAUGCUUUCACGACACAAUAAAGCAUUUGCAUUUGAAUCACAUGAAAUAGGGUGCAUUGAUCUGAGUAUUGUAGCACCUAUGGUUAUUUUUACAAUUUUGCAUGAAUCAUGGAAUUUGAGGCCAAUUCCAAUCCCAAAGGCUCAUUUGUCAAAGCUAGUUGAAUUACUCAAUGAAAAAAUUAAGAUGGAAAUUUUAGAACCACCUAUUACACCAUAUUUCAAUCGGUGGUUCUUAGUACCUAAGAAAAAUGGAACAUUGAGGUUUAUUGAAGAUAUGCAACUGGUAAAUAAAAUAACUAUUAGAAACAUGGGCUUGAGUCCAAUUGUGGAUGAGUUUGCAGAGGCAUUUGCAGGGAGAUCAAUUUAUUCUAUGAGAGAUCUUUACUCAAAAUACGAUCAAUUUCAAUUGGCAAUGUAAAGUAGAGAUUUGACAACUAUAAAGACACCAUUGGGAUUGGUCAAAAUAUGUACAUUAUUACAAGGGGCUACAAAUUCUGUAGCACACAUGAUGAAUGGAAUGCAUAAGGUACUAAGAGAUUUUAUUCCAAGAAUAACAAUACCUUUUUUAGAUGAUGUGCCAAUUAAAAGAUAUGAAGAAGAAAGAAAGGAUGAGACAUUGGAUUCAAAGGGAUGUAAGAAGUUUGUAGCAGAUCAUAUUAAUGAUUGUGAGAAGAUUUUGAUAAGGCUAGAAGAAGUUCAUUUAACUUUAUCGGGGACAAAAUCAAUAUUUGGAGUAAAAGAAGUUUUGAUAGUAGGGCACAUGUGUGGUUCAUAUGGACGCAAAUCAAGUAGGAAAAAAGUUGAUAUUAUAAAAAAAAUGAAAGAGUGUACAAAUAUGACGGAAGUCAUGAGGUUUUUAGCAGCAUGUAUUUUCUAUCAUAUAUGGAUACCUCAUUUUGUACAUAUAGCAGAUCUAUUAUAUGAGUUGUUACGAAAGAAUCAAAAAUUUCAAUGGAAAGAAGAACAAAGAAAAGCUAUGGCAAAGUUAAAAGAAUUUCUUUCUUCACCUCCAACUUUGAAGAAAGUAAAUUAUGAAUGUGGAGGGCCAAUAAUAUUAACAAUUGAUGCAAGUCCAAUUGGAAUAGGUUGGAUAGUUGGACAAGAUGAUGAACAAAGGAAUAGAUAUGUAGUAAGGUUUGGAGCAAAGGUUUUGAAUGCUAGACAAAGGAUAUACCACAAAUCAAAAGAGAAUUAUGGAAUGUAGUAAUAGCUAUGAAAAAUAAAAAAGAGUAUUUGAUUAGUACAUCAAUAGUUAUAGAAAUAGAUUAUCUACCUUUAUUGGGUAUGAUUACAAGUUGUUCAACUCUCGACAUUGCUAUGUUAAGGUGGAUGGCAUAUAUCAAAUCUAUAAAUCUGAAAUUUAAACAUAUUAUAGGAAAAGAAAAUUCAGUUGCAGAUAUGUUAUCAAGAGUAAGGUAUUACAAUGAAGAAGAUAUGAUAGAUUUAGAAGAUGAUGUGGGUACAAAUUUUUAUACUAAUGCAUUAUCAAAGGAAGAAAGUAUAUGUUUGAAUAUACCAUUAGAAACAUUUUCAAGAGAUCUAUAUGAAAAAUAAUGGAAAGACAUUAGGGAGUAUUUAAGCACAUUAAAGCGAGAAGAUGGUUGGACAGAUCAAGAAUUUAAGAAAAUCCGAAAGAAAGCCUAUAGAUAUUUUUUACAUGAUGGAUAUUUAUAGAAGCAUCCAAAGAAGAGAGGAGAAGUACUACAACGAGUGAUAUGUGGUUUAAAAGCUCAACAAAAGAUUAUUAAGGAAUUUCAUAAAAGUUUAUGGACACGACAUUGAGGUAUUUGGGCAACAUUUAUUAAGUUAAAAGAAAAAUAUUGGUGGAAGGGCAUGUAUAGGGAUGUGGCGGAUUUUGAAGGAUCUUAUGAAACUUGCCAAAUAUAUUCAAAUAUUCGUCAUUGAGAUGGUUUGCAUCCUAUAUAUCCAUUAGUAAUUUAUUAUAAAUAGGUGGUUGAUUUAGUUGUAAUGCCAAUGGGAUUUGAUCAGAGGAAAUAUUUUUGGUACUUGCUCGGGAAGAUUUGACAAAUCAAGUAGAGGGAAGAGCACUUUCAACAAAGACUACGGAAAGAGUAUGUCGGUUUAUAUUAGAGGAAAUUAUUUGCCGGUAUGGAUGUAUUAGAAAAAUCACUGUAGAUAGAAGAGAAUUGGAUGCAAAUAAAGCACAAGAAUUCUUUGAAAGGAUGGAUAUUAAACUUGUAUUGAGAAUAGCAUAUAAUCUAGAAGGAAAUGGCAAGAGUGAACGUGGACAUUCUCCAAUUAUUAAAACAUUGGUUAAAGCAUGCAAAGGUAAGAUAAGUGAUUGGCCUAAAUUAUUAUCAUUUGCAUUAUGUGUGGAUCGCUAAACUCAUAGUACGAUUACAUGAUACAUACCAGCAAAAUUGAUGUAUGGUCAAAAACCGAUAAUGCCAAUAGAGGAGGUUGUAUCAACAUGGACUAUAUUACCUUGGGAAGAUGGUUUAAUAAGAAAAGAGUUAUUGGCAUUACAAAUUCGACAACUUGAAAGAAGGCCCAAGGACAUUGAAGUAGCUGUGAGAAAGUUGAAAGAAGCGAGAGAAAAAAAUAAAGAGAGGUUUGACAAAAAGCAUCGAUUGCAUCCAAAACUAAUUCAAAAUGAUGAUUGGGUGUUGGUUUAUGAUAGUAGUUUGGACAACCAACAUAGUACAGCAAAAAAAUUUGCAAGGAGAUGGUUUGGACCUUAUGUUGUCAAACAAGUGCACGAGAAUGGAACAUACUUGUUACGAAAACUGAAUGGUAUAGAUUUAAAGAUACUAAUAGCACGAAAGCGAAUCAAAUUGUUUAAUCAAAGAGGUAAAGACAUUUGUUUUGAUGAAGAAAAAAAUCUAAUAGGAGAUAUUGAGAUGGAAGAAAAAGAGCAAAAUGAAGAUCAAGAAUUUGACCAAGAUGAAGAACAUUCGAUAUCAAUAUAAUGAAGGAACUUGGUGCAUACCAGAGGAUGCAUAGGUUCAGGGGGAGUGGAUGUCAUGAUGUAACAUGGCUAACAAGUGAAAGGAUGAAGAAAAUAUCAUGUUUUGAGGAUCUCACUUCAAAAAUAUUGUAGUAAAUUAUCUUGGAAAAAUAGAUAUUAGUCAAAGGGUAGAAAAAUUAAAGGUGCUAAUGCUGCCUUUUUACAAAUUAUCCUUCUAUUUACUUUGUAAGGCCAUAAAUAAGACAAAACAAGGUAGAUUAGAAAAAUAAAGGAUAUAGGCAUAUUUAGGGAGGAGUUUAGAGUGCAAAUUAGUAAAAAUUACCUCAAGAAGACGAAAGUUGAUACCUGAAAAGGACCUGUUAUGAACCUGGGUCGAAAUCGGACCCCGAGACACAAAACCAUGCUCUGACGGCGACUCAAGGGUUCUUUGGAAGAUCGGAGAGCCGAAUUAGGGGACAGACUUGUGGAGGGAUUUUUGAGAGGUAAUUUUGUGUUGUUUGGAUUAGUAUUGGAUUUUUGAGGGAUUUUCAAAGCGAGUGAUGUUCUCUAUGAAUUCAGAGCUUUGAUAAAUAAAACCGGUUUACAAAUUUUUGGAUUUCAUGUCUUUUGUAGUAUUUUUAUAGGUGAAAAUUUAGAGAGUUAUUGGUAUGCUUGUUGUGAAUGUGUGUAAGAGAUUUGAGGUCAAUAAAAUGGCUAGAUCGAUACAUAUGAAGGUUUUUGUAGGCUAAGGUCUUGGGAUUUAGGAUUUUAAGGACUAGUAAGAUUUUCUUAGAUAUCUAGAAAUUUACCAAUUGAAUUGGAGAGAUUUUUGGUUUUAUCAGUAGAAGACUUGAUUUCCUAUAUGCAAAUAAAAUUUAGAAGCAAUCGAACGGUGGAAAAAGGAGAUAUCAGCACUGGAAGUUGGCAUCAAGAUUAGAGAAGGAGAGACCAGCCGACAUCCAAGUGGAAUUUUGAGGUCAUUGACUAAUUGGUAAGUGCGAUUUUCUUCAAAAUUUGUGUGCUGGUUUUCAACUUAAACUCUAAGAAGUGUGCAAAUUUUGAAUUAGAAUCAAUAGUUCAAUCUUUAGUUAUUUAAUUUUCAAAUCUGUGAUUGGGAUUUGGUUUGGAUUAGGAUUUGAUUAGAGUUUAGGAUUAAGAUUUGGUUAGGAUUUGGUUUAGGGUUUAGGAUUUUUUAGAGUUAGGGUAUGGUUUAGGAUUUGAUUUAGGAUUUAGGGUUUAAGAUUUGGUUUAAGAUUUGAUUUAGGAUUUAAGAUUUGGAUUAGGUUUUGAAUUAGGAUUUGGAUUAGAAUUUAGGAUUUGAUUUAGGAUUUGAUUAUGGAUUAGUUUAGGAUUUAGGAUUUGAUUAAGAUUUGAUUAAGAUUUGGUUUAGUAUUUGAUUAAGAUUUGAUUAGGAUUUCGUUUAGGAUUUAGGGUUUGUCUAGGAUUGGAUUAGGAUUGGAUUAGCAUUAGGGGUUGGUUAGAAUUUAAGGUUUUAUUAGAUUUUUGUUAGGAUUUGACUAAAUUUUCUUUAAUAUUCUUUUAUAUUUCUUUGUAUUUCUUUUAUAACUUUAAUAAAAUUUAAUUGAGCUUGCUUAAUGUUUGAUUAUGGUUGUUAACGUUUAAUUGUAAAUUCUCUAUAAUCUUAUUGGAUUGU